GUGGGGAAUAUUGCGCAAUGGGGGAAACCCUGACGCAGCGACGCCGUGUGAGGGAAGAAGGCUUUCGGGUCGUAAACCUCUGUCAGAAAGGAAGAACCUCCCAAGUCCGAAUAGGGCUUGGGACUGACGGUACUUUCAAAGGAAGCACCGGCUAACUCCGUGCCAGCAGCCGCAGUAAUACGGAGGGUGCAAGCGUUAAUCGGAAUCACUGGGCGUAAAGCGCGCGUAGGCCGCUUUGUAAGUCGGACGUGAAAGCCCUCGGCUCAACCGGGGAACUGCGUUCGAUACUGCGAGGCUUGAGUCCUGGAGAGGGUGGCGGAAUUCCGGGUGUAGGAGUGAAAUCCGUAGAUAUCCGGAGGAACACCGGUGGCGAAGGCGGCCACCUGGACAGGUACUGACGCUGAGGCGCGAAAGCGUGGGGAGCAAACAGGAUUAGAUACCCGGGUAGUCC
rnacentral:rRNA from 1 species